UAAGCAAAUUAAAUCACAACUCAGAAAUCACAACUGAAAGUAAUCAAUUCAUAUUACAAAUAUAUUCAUGGCUUUGAAUUAACCUCUAGCUAAAAUAAAAUUAGUUACACAUUAUUCUCAAAUUAAACCAAAAGUUAAACAUGAGUUUAGGAAAAUAGAACCGAAAUAAGAGAGUGCAGAGGUUUCCUCUUUCCCUUGCCAAGCAGUGGCGUGAGCUCUCUAUUUUUCUUCUUCUUGUUUUUCUGCUCUCCGUUUGCUCUCUGCCCAGCUGCAAAGGCAGCUUUGCUUCUCUCCC
rnacentral:lncRNA from 1 species